ensembl:lncRNA
GGGUCAUAGGUCAGCUGGCAUCAGAGAGGAGAGGGUCAUAGGUCAGCUGGCAUCAGAGAGGAGUUGGUCAUAGGUCAGCUGGCAUCAGAGAGGAGCGGUUCAUAGGUCAGCUGGCAUCAGAGAGGGGAGGGUCAUAGGUUAGCUGGCAUCAGAGAGAAACGGGUCAUAGGUCAGCUGGCAUCAGAGAGGAGAGGGUCAUAGGUCAGCUGGCAUCAGAGAGAAGAGGGUCAUAGGUCAGCUGGCAUCAGAGAGGAGAGGGUCAUAGGUCAGCUGAUAUCAAAGAGGAGAGGGUCAUAGGUCAGCUGGCAUCAGAGAGGAGAUGUUCAUAUGUUAGCUGGCAUCAGAGAGGAUAGAGUCAUAGGUCAGCUGGCAUCAGAUAGGUGAGGGUCAUAGGUCAGCUGGCAUCAGAGAGGAGAGGGUCAUAGGUUAGCUGGCAUCAGAUAGGUAAGUGUCAUAGGACAGCUGGCAUUGGAGAGGACAGGGUCAUGGGUCAGCUGGCAUCAGAGAGAAGAGGGUCAAAUGUCAG